GGUGCUGCACUGGGGACUAGAGAGCCAAUGCUAAGCCAAGGACAAGGUCACUGCUCUCACAGUGCCCACGGUGUGCAGAGAUAAGCCCUAGACUGUUGCAUGUGCCAGAGAGAGGGCAAAAGGCUGCCAGCUCCCUAUCCCUACCUGCUGACCAAAAAAGUGACAGAGGCUUUGACAGACAUGAGAAACCAGGAAGAGAGAGGGCAAUGGGGAAGAGAAGAAGAGCCCCCUGUCUUGAAGUCGCAACAAUGCACAAGUGAUCAACUCAGUUUGGAGCGUGGGAGGAAGAGAACUUCAAGUGACAAAACAUGACCUGCAGAUAUCACCAACAUGGGUCUCAUUUAUAAUGCACAUUUUUACCUUACUCACUGGAAAUGGACAGCACAAAUGGCACUCACAUGGUGAUGCAGGUUGUCAAAAAUCCCAAAAUUCGGUAAAGCACUGCAGUAACAAGGCUAUGAGGAAAUUGGAACUCCAAGGCAUUGUUGACAGAUAAAGAAAUUGACCCAACACCUGUGGAGGCACAACACCUUCACAUUCCUAACCACAAUGCCCUUGCCUACUGGAGGAAAUGGUUGGUGUAAGGCCUUUGCUGCUCCAAGAGAAGACUACAAAGAUGAGCAAGCAGCUCUUGAUGUUAUGGGCCCAAGAAUAAGCACUUCACCUAUACAAUGUCAAAUAAAAUUAAUCCUCAAAACAACCCUUUUCAUAAGGGACAGAAGUGAGGCUCAGAUCAAUUUCAUGCUUUCCACACAAAGAAUAUAGAGCAGACAAUUGAUAGCAGAGAAAAUAUAAAAGGUUACUAAAUAUG